rnacentral:rRNA from 1 species
AUUGAACGCUGGCGGCAUGCCUUACACAUGCAAGUCGAACGGUAACGGGCCUUCGGGUGCCGACGAGUGGCGAACGGGUGAGUAAUGUAUCGGAACGUACCUUUCAGUGGGGGAUAACGUAGCGAAAGUUACGCUAAUACCGCAUAUUCUGUGAGCAGGAAAGCAGGGGAUCGCAAGACCUUGCGCUGAUUGAGCGGCCGAUAUCAGAUUAGCUAGUUGGUGAGGUAAAGGCUCACCAAGGCGACGAUCUGUAGCGGGUCUGAGAGGAUGAUCCGCCACACUGGAACUGAGACACGGUCCAGACUCCUACGGGAGGCAGCAGUGGGGAAUUUUGGACAAUGGGGGCAACCCUGAUCCAGCCAUGCCGCGUGAGUGAAGAAGGCCUCGGGUUGUAAAGACGUCUUUCGGCCC